CGCAUGCUUCGAAUGUUGAUCACUAGAAGCUGUGGAUCCCUACGCAAGCUUUGUGUCGCUGGAAUUUCCAAUGACACCAUUUUCUCGUUUCUCCUUGAGCAGUAAGCUGAACUAGACUUGUUUCAUCAAACUUCAACUUUCAAUUGCUAAGCUUAUUAUGAAACCUUGUAAUCUGCUCACAGGUUGUAGUUUAGACUUUAGCAGCAGCACAGAUAGCCUAACAGUUCAUCUUGAUUGUCUCUUUAUUCCUUGUCCAUUUAGGAUUUUGUCAUUGCAGAUGAAAAUUCAUGUCUGUUUUUGAUUCUCAUUUGUUUGUUGUUAUGCUUGCAAUGCUCAGUGAAUUUUAUUGUAGCAUUCUUCAUUGUAAUUGCAAUCUCUAGAUAAGAAAAAGGAGCUGGCUUUGUAGCAUCAUUAGGCUUUGUGACUUGAAUGGUAACAUUCUCUAAGAAGACACCUGGUGACUUGGGUGUUUUUUCUUAUUGGUUUUGCAAGUGCUGGAUCCCUUCAGACUUUGAGGAUGCCAAGAAGCGAAAUAAGUGAUUCAAUUGUUGAACAGAUUGCUGGAAGACUUUCAACAAUCACUUUCUUGGA
rnacentral:misc_RNA from 1 species